AUUGAACGCUGGCGGCAUGCCUUACACAUGCAAGUCGAACGGCAGCAUGGGUGCUUGCACCUGAUGGCGAGUGGCGAACGGGUGAGUAAUGCAUCGGAACGUACCCGGAAGUGGGGGAUAACGUAGCGAAAGUUACGCUAAUACCGCAUAUUCUGUGAGCAGGAAAGAGGGGGAUCGCAAGACCUCUCGCUUUCGGAGCGGCCGAUGUCGGAUUAGCUAGUUGGUGGGGUAAAGGCCCACCAAGGCGACGAUCCGUAGCGGGUCUGAGAGGAUGAUCCGCCACACUGGGGCUGAGACACGGCCCAGACUCCUACGGGAGGCAGCAGUGGGGAAUUUUGGACAAUGGGCGCAAGCCUGAUCCAGCCAUGCCGCGUGAGUGAAGAAGGCCUUCGGGUUGUAAAGCUCUUUCGGCGGGGAAGAAAUGGCACGCUCUAACAUAGCGUGUUGAUGACGGUACCCGCAUAAGAAGCACCGGCUAACUACGUGCCAGCAGCCGCUGUAA
rnacentral:rRNA from 1 species